CAUGUUAUAACGGUGCCUCGGCCCGGAGAAGAGAUCAAACUGCAGCGCGGCGCGCACGUCGCUCGUGCACAGAUAUGGGCCGCGCCCUUGAAUCGUCAUGUGUGAAUUUCUAAUAGUUAUAUGAAACCAUAAAACACAUAGUUAAUUUAUAAAAGGUGCAUCUCGUUUGUUACGACACUUCAUUACAAAUCAAGUGCAUAUAUUCCCCCACUUUGGGGACUACUCGACGGGCUCACUACUAUCACGCCCGCAAACCUUCACCCUGCCUGGACGCCUCUGCCCACUCGCGUCGAACGCCGCGUCACACGCCACUACCGACGCCAGGACGCCAGGACAGUAACGCUCAGCUACGCUGCGAUCCAUUUGCCAUCACCACCGUAGGCCUACGACCCACGUCCCUAAAUAGUCCUAAUAAAUAGAUUUAACACUUUGUA